rnacentral:tRNA from 1 species
GCCGACGUAGCACAACUGGUAGUGCAACUGACUUGUAAUCAGUAGGUUGGGGGUUCAAGUCCCUCCGUCGGCA